UGAGUAACCUGCCCCAGACUCUGGGAUAAGCACUGGAAACGGUGUCUAAUACCGGAUACGAGCUUCAGCCGCAUGGCUAGGAGCUGGAAAGAAUUUCGGUCUGGGAUGGACUCGCGGCCUAUCAGCUAGUUGGUGUGGGUAAUGGCCCACCAAGGCGACGACGAGUAGCUGGUCUGAGAGGACGACCAGCCACACUGGAACUGAGAUACGGUCCAGACCUCGUACGGGA
rnacentral:rRNA from 1 species